rnacentral:rRNA from 1 species
GACGUAGGGCGCGAGCGUUGUCCGGAUUUAUUGGGCGUAAAGAGCUCGUAGGCGGCUUGUCGCGUCGAAUGUGAAAACCCACGGCUCAACUGUGGGCUUGCAUUCGAUACGGGCAGGCGUAGAGUUCGGUAGGGGAGACGUGGAAUUCCUGGUGUAGCGGUGAAAUGCGCAGAUAUCAGGAGGAACACCGGUGGCGAAGGCGGGUCUCUGGGCCGAUACUGA